rnacentral:rRNA from 1 species
GACGUAGGGGGCCAGCGUUGCUCGGAAUUACUGGGCGUAAAGGGUUCGUAGGCGGUGCGGUAAGUCGGAAGUGAAAUCUCUGGGCUUAACCCAGAGGCUGCUUUCGAAACUGCUGUGCUAGAGUGCGGGAGAGGCGAGUGGAAUUACAGGUGUAGCGGUGAAAUGCGUAGAUAUCAGGAGGAACACCGAUGGCGAAGGCAGCUUUCUGGUCUAAGACUGACGCUGAGGUGCGAAAGCGUGGGGAGCAAACAGG